AUGGUGCCCUGCAUGGAGGGCUGGGAGCAGCUCGGUGGGUCCCCACUACUCCCCCCACCCCACGGGUACAGCGGGGGGGGGUCACAGGACACCCCCAAUCUGGGCAGUGGGGAUGGCUUUGGAGGACCAACCUAUGCGGGGGGGGGGGGGGGGGGGGGGGCCGGCACUAAGGUUUCUAUAGCCCCGCUGUGUUCUGCACUGGAGAGGGGAGCAGCGCAGCCCCCCCGGGGACCCCCCCCCGGUGCCAGCACCGAACCCCCGGCCCGGGGGAUGCUCGUGGCUGUGGAGCUCGAGGGGCGGUCCCGUGCGCUGCUAAAGUGGCCCAAAGUGACCCAAAGUGACCCAAAGGAGUCCAAAAGGGCGAAGUGGGGGGGCAGAGGGGGAGUCGGGACCCCGCAGCAGCCCCGCAUACAGCUCGACGAGCCCCGGCACCGUCCCGCGGCUGCUGCGUCACUGGGGCCGAGGCAUUGCCUGCCCCGCUUCGGUACCGGGGAUGCGGCACAGCCCGGAGCCGGACCGCCCCGACCGCCCCAUCCCUGCCCCGGCCCCGAGGGGGGGGCACGGCGCUGCCCACCCCCCCCCACCCCCGAAACCGGGAGGGCGUGGGAGCUCCGUACGGGAGCUCCGUACGGCCCCAGCCCCGCGCGCAGCCCCCGCAUCCCUACCUCCGGGCGGUGCUCCGCGCUCCGCUCCUCCCGGCGGCGGCGACGGUUCGGUCCCGGCGCGGUGCGACGCGGUUCGGUUCGGUCCCGGCGCGGUUCGGUUCCCCGGCGGGGCGGAUCCCGGAGCUCAGGGUUGGACGGGACGGACGGCCCCGCGCCCCCCCCCUCCCCCCCGCAGCCCCCCGGGCCCGGAUCGCGGUCCGCCCCCACCGAACGCUGCGGGACCCCGCGGGGGCGGCGCGUCCCGGGGCAGAAUGGAGCGGAGCCGCGGGACUCAACUUCGGGCGGCGGCGGCGGAGCGGAGCAGCGCUCGGGACCCCAACCGGGAGCGCCGCGGUCACUCCGAAAACCCGGGGUGGAUCGGGCACGCGCGGCCCUGCACACGCGCGGGGCCAUCCCACGUGUGUCUGUGUGGGUGUGUGUGUGUGUGUGUGUGCAACGGGUCCGUGCAGCCGUGCACCGUUCCAGGCGUGGAAAGGCUCCGGGCACACGCGUGGCACGCUCGGCAGCGCUCACACCUGUGCAACCGUGGUGCAGUGGUGCACGCACAGCGCCGUGCGCACGGGAGCCCCGCACACGUGCACACACGGAGCUGCACACACGUGGCUUUGCACACACACACACACACACACACACGUGCACAGCCCUCCAGGUGCACAGCCCUGACCCCGACGCCUGGAAAGGGUGAGACCCCCCCCACUCUGCCCGCACUGUGAGGCUGCAGUUGGGCUCCGGGCCUGCAGCCCCCCCCCCCACAGCGAGCAUGGAGGUCAAACAGCCCCCAUUCCCACCCCCCCCGGUGGGGGCUGCGAUGCCCUCGUGUGCCCCACACCCCCCCGUGUCACCGCACACGUGGAAGGGAUGGCGGCACCGCGGUGAUGGGGGCUCGGGGG
rnacentral:lncRNA from 7 species